UACCACGUAUGAUCCAAGAGGGUUGGCACAGAGUGUUGUCUGUGGACGCCAUUUGAAAAUAUAGGCAGUGUAAGCACUGGAGAAUCUAAUUAUUUCUUUGCAAAACCUAAUUAGGCAUUAAAAAAGGUUAACGCCAGCCGCCUGAAACGUUUUUGUUUAAUAAUCCCAUUACUGACGGCUCAUCAUGUAUAAAAUGGGGCAGGAGGCGGAAGCCAACUUUCACUUGUUAAAGAGAAUCCCUGAGAAAUAGUCGCAGAGUUUGGAAACCAUCGUGUUGGGAAGCAGCGCGUAAUGACAGAAGGUCGUCAGAGAUCUUCCUGGAAGCCUGUGAUUGGCCGGCUGUCUGGGCUGGCGGAUGAUUGAUGACGGCGAGGGCAAGGGCGCGCUCCGACAGAAGAAAGGCGCAUACAGGCUCCAUAGAGCCGCUAUGAAGGGCCCGCUCCUCCACCUCCUCCACCUCUUCCUCCACCUCCUCCACCCCCACCCGACCCAUGGCUACAGGAGGGGGGGGGGGGGAUGGGGAGAGGUGUGUGUGUGUGUGUGUGUGGGGGGGGGGGGGGGUCUGUUACUUGGCUAAUCCGUUUAGCCAUUGAGCUAGCAGCCGUCUGAUGGAGGGUCUGUAACAGGUGCACCACGCAUGCGCAGAAGGAGAUGACCCCGGCUCACCGAGAGCCGCCGGGCUGGCCAGACAUCAACGCUGUGCGGCCGGACGGCUGGAGUCCGGCCCCGACCCCCGGCUCACAGCGGCGCUCAAUGGCACAAUUAGCCGGCAAUCUGCUCCGAGCGGCGGGGACACGGAGCCCCGCGGGCCGCUCGGCUGGAGCUGGCCGGCCGGGGCGCGGGGGCAGCGGGGGCGCUGGCCCGCCGCGACCCACUCACCGCAGAGCGGGGGACAAAGAGUGAGCUGUUAUGAAGCCUGCUUAACCAUUCACCGAUCAAUCAACACCGUUUCCUUUUUUACACAAUAACUGUGCUGGAGAUGACUGCAAUAUUCAUUUUGGAACAAAAAGAGCUUUCUCCCGUUUAGUUCUCCAUGGAGGAAAUAGUAUGGAUGGAUUUUUACUGUAUAGUGGCCUGAUUUGAAUAAUCAUGGAUAAAUGAUGUCUGUAAAAUACGAUGAUAAAUGUAAUAACAUUUAUAUUGUUUAUAUAAAAUGUGUCAAUUUUUUAAAAUGAUAAUAAUCUGAUAAUAAACAAUAAACAGAAA